rnacentral:snRNA from 1 species
GUGCUCGCUUCGGCAGCACAUACACUAAAAUUGGAACGAUACAGAGAAGAUCCGCAUGGCCCUGUGCAAGGAUGACACGCAUAUUCAUGAAGCGUUCCAUAUUUGA